CCUACGGGGGGCAGCAGUGGGGAAUAUUGGACAAUGGGCGAAAGCCUGAUCCAGCCAUGCCGCGUGUGUGAAGAAGGCCUUCGGGUUGUAAAGCACUUUCAGUGGGGAAGAAAGCCUUGGGGCUAAUACCCUCGAGGAAGGACAUCACCCACAGAAGAAGCACCGGCUAACUCCGUGCCAGCAGCCGCGGUAAUACGGAGGGUGCGAGCGUUAAUCGGAAUUACUGGGCGUAAAGCGCGCGUAGGCGGUCUGAUAAGCCGGUUGUGAAAGCCCCGGGCUCAACCUGGGAACGGCAGCCGGAACUGUCAGGCUAGAGUGCAGGAGAGGAAGGUAGAAUUCCCGGUGUAGCGGUGAAAUGCGUAGAGAUCGGGAGGAAUACCCGUGGCGAAGGCGGCCUCCUGGACUGACACUGACGCUGAGGUGCGAAAGCGUGGGUAGCAAACAGGAUUAGAUACCCGUGUAGUC
rnacentral:rRNA from 1 species